rnacentral:rRNA from 1 species
GCGAAUAAGGUGCCAGGAGGGGUGGAGAGAGGUGGGGUGGAGGCGGUGUCGGGAUUUAGUGGGCGUAAAGGGUUCGUAGGCGGGUUACCAAGGCUGAGGUUAAAUACCAGAGCGAAACUCGGGCACGGCAUUGGAAACUGGUAGGGUAGUGUCGGGUAGAGGCAAGGGGAAUUCUCGGUGUAGCGGUGAAAUGCGUAGAUAUCGGGAGGAACACCAGUGGCGAAAGCGCCUUGCUGGGCCAGUACUGACGCUGAGGAACGAAAGCCAGGGGAGCGAAAGGGAUUAGAUACCCUGGUAGUC